rnacentral:piRNA from 1 species
GAAAGCAAAUGUUGAAGUAAGAAUACUAU